rnacentral:rRNA from 1 species
UACGUAGGGUGCAAGCAUUAAUCGGAUUUAUUGGGCGUAAAGGGCGCGUAGGCUGGAGCGUAAGUCAGAUGUGAAAUCCCGGGGCUCAACCCCGGAACUGCAUUUGAAACUGCGUUUCUAGAGGGUAGGCGGAGAAAACGGAAUUCCACAAGUAGCGGUGAAAUGCGUAGAUAUGUGGAAGAACACCAGUGGCGAAGGCGGUUUUCUAGCUUAUACCUGACGCUGAUGCGCGAAAGCAAGGGGAGCAAACAGG